rnacentral:lncRNA from 1 species
GCCGCGCCAUGGCAGCUACCUGCACGUUCUGAUGUGGCACCAGCCUGUGAAUUCAGUAGCCGGUGUGGGCGGGGGCAGCUGCACUGCUUCCCUGAAGCCACGUGGGACGGCUACGCUGCCCAAAGGCAAAAGCAAGACCCUCCCAGGUACCGCGUCAAACCAGGGCCACCAAGAGCGGAGUAAGAAUAGGGGAGAGGAGGGAAGCCCGGUGCAUGGGCCUCGGCGGGGACACGGCCCAGCGUCUGCAGGGGGUGGCUGCACCUGCUCCACGGCGUCCUAGGCCACCAGGGCUCAAGGAGGCCCUCUCCAGGGGCAGAGUCCCGACCCAGAGGCUCAGGGGCCACAUCGGGCCUCUGACGUGCUGGCUGCACUGUGCAGCUCUGAAAAGGAAGGUGGGGGCGGGGUACAGCGGAUUCUGCAAUAGACUCAGAUUCCUAGUUUCUUUAGGAAACUGGGAACUUGGGGCAAUGCUGGGCUGGCUGGCGGCCGGCAGCGGCCAGCAGGGGCUGCCCUCUUUGUCUGCAGGUCGCCAAAAUCCCCCUACACACACACACACACACACACAAACACCAAGGCUGGGUCCUCGCCGCCCUGUCUGGCCCUGGCACCCCAGCCUCAGAGACUCUUCCAGGCCCUCCACCUCCAGGCCCGCUGAUCCGAGGAGGGUGCUGACCCACCCGGCUCCACCAAGGCCAGGGCCAGGAUGCAGAGGCUCUGCCUGGGCUCAGGGCACCGGGCCCUCUGUGCAGUCUCAGAGUCAGGACCCCCCCGGAUCCCCCAGACCCAGGAGCCCAGGCACACGUGUAAGUCAGCCACCAGAGGGUGCUGUGAGGGGCACAGGCGACCACUGUCCACAGGGCCCAGCUGCUGCCUCCACCAGCGCCCUGCUUCUCUGCACCGCAGGGCCGCCCGCCAGCAAUUUCUGCUUUUAAUGGCAAUGAAUGAAAGCGUCCCUGGGCUCCUUGGGAUGACUGGCGACUGCACACAUGACCCAGAUGGCACGAAACACUGCGGGGCAGAGCAGCGCCAGGCGGUCAGCCUGCCCGAGGGGCCCCAUUU